rnacentral:misc_RNA from 1 species
UUUGUAGAUUAAUUGUGAUAAUUAUUAGAAAGAGACGCAGAAGGCGAAGCUGAGAGGAAGAAUGAAUUUAUAAGAGGCUGAGAUGCAUUGCCUUGGUUCCAGGGAACUCAAGAAAACUUGUGAAAAUGAGUGCUAUCUUUUUAGGGUUUUCCUGUGAUUCUUGGGACUUUCCUGGGUUCUUUUACGAGUCCUUUUUCUGCCUCUUUCUUGUGUUUCAAGAUAAAGGGUUGAUUUCAUAUUUAGUUUAAUUUCUUGUUUAUAUAAUUUUUCGAAAUUUUGUUGUAUUUUUUGUGGAUUUAAA